GAACGCUGGCGGCGUGCUUAACACAUGCAAGUCGAACGAGGAUGCAGGAGAGCUUGCUCGAAUGUAUCCGAGUGGCGGACGGGUGAGUAACGCGUGAACAAUCUGUCUCAUACAGGGGGAUAACGCAUCGAAAGAUGUGCUAAUACCGCGUAGGACCACGGGUUCGCAUGGGCCUGAGGUGAAAGACGAAAGUCGGUAUGAGGUGAGUUCGCGUCUGAUUAGAUAGUUGGUGAGGUAACGGCCCACCAAGUCAACGAUCAGUAGCCGACCUGAGAGGGUGAUCGGCCACAUUGGGACUGAGACACGGCCCAGACUCCUACGGGAGGCAGCAGUGGGGAAUAUUGGGCAAUGGGCGCAAGCCCUGACCCAGCAACGCCGCGUGAAGGAAGAAGGUUUUCGGAUCGUAAACUUCUGUCCUAUGUGAAGAUAGUGACGGUAGCAUAGGAGGAAGCCCCGGCUAACUACGUGCCAGCCGCGGC
rnacentral:rRNA from 1 species